GCUUGUCUCAAAGAUUAAGCCAUGCAUGUCUAAGUAUAAACGAUUUUAUACGUGAAACUGCGAAUGGCUCAUUAUAUCAGUUAUAGUUUAUUUGAUGGUCCUUACUAUUUGGAUAACCGUAGUAAUUCUAGAGCUAAUACAUGCAUCAAGCCCUGACUUCGGAAGGGGUGUAUUUAUUAGAUGGAAACCAAUGCGGGGCAACCCGGAAUAUGGUGAUUCAUAAUAACUUUCGGAUCGUUUACGAUGCAUCAUUCAAGUUUCUGCCCUAUCAGCUUUGGAUGGUAGGAUAUGGGCCUACCAUGGCGUUAACGGGUAACGGGGAAUUAGGGUUUGAUUCCGGAGAGGGAGCCUUAGAAACGGCUACCACAUCCAAGGAAGGCAGCAGG
rnacentral:rRNA from 1 species